UUUUGGAUUGCUCAGUGCUAAGAGCAUCUGCUUCACGUGCAGAUGGACCCAGGUUCAAUCCCUGGCAUUUAUUUAUAGGGCUGGGAA